GCCAGUGUUGUGUCACCAGGGGCUCAUGCUUGAUCUUCAUCUUACAUCUGGAGUCAGCUGAUCCUGAGCCACUGGAGGCCUCGAGAUGUACACGGGAUGAUGGGCUUUAGUUUGAUUUGAGCAGGCUGACAAAAGCGCAGUGAGACCAUCACCCAAAGGAACAGUGCCAGUGUGCUGUGGAAGUCCCCAAAAUUUGGGGUUUUGAAACUCAGUCCUGCCUGAGACAGAAAAGCUCGGACACCGGCAGGGUGAAAACAAAAUGACAAGAUGGAGAAAUCCACCCCAAAAGAAAGAACGGGAAGCAGAACUCGUGGCCAGCAAUUAAAUCAAUACAGAUAUA